UACGUAGGGGGCAAGCGUUGUCCGGAUUUAUUGGGCGUAAAGAGCGUGUAGGCGGCCAGACAGGUCAGCUGUGAAAACUCGAGGCUCAACCUCGAGACGUCGGUUGAAACCGUCUGUCUAGAGUCCGGAAGAGGAGAGUGGAAUUCCCGGUGUAGCGGUGAAAUGCGCAGAUAUCGGGAAGAACACCCGUGGCGAAGGCGGCUCUCUGGGACGGUACUGACGCUGAGACGCGAAAGCGUGGGGAGCGAACAGG
rnacentral:rRNA from 1 species